rnacentral:tRNA from 1 species
UUCCUGGUGGCCCAGUGGUUAAGACUCUUCACUUCCAAUGCAGGGGGCACAGGUUCAAUUCCUGGCCAGAGAA